UAUAUAUAUAUAUAUAUAUAGGUACUUUUCUUAUGAGUUAUGUACCUGCUUUGGUGUUAUUUGACUCGGUUGUGAGUCUGUCCUUCGUGUCCUUAGCGUUUAGUCUUCACAUUAGUGUCGAGCGAGAGGCGUUGAGUCGACGUUUGUGAGUUUUUAUAGCCGACGAACAUGCGGUUUCUGCGACCGUGGUUUUUUGGGAUAUGUUUUGGUGAUUUUUUUUGUGGAGUUUCCGAUAGAUCUGGUGCCGAUAGCAGUGGGUGACGUUUGUGUCAUUGUGGGCAUGGAUUGGUUGUGUCGAUUUGGGGUUAUGAUCGACUUUGAGUGACCGAUGGUGACCAUACGAGACCCUAGUAGGGGAGUGCUUACCGUGUACGACAAGAGUACCAGGUCCGGAUCCACUUUUUUCUCUACUGCCUGAGCAAUACAUAGUAUACAAUUGGGAUGUAUGGGUUUUUGGCGUAUGUGGUGGAUAUGCGGAUUACUACAGAGAGACCGCGUUCUGUCUUCGAGGUUCCGAUAGUGUGCGAGUUCCCAAAAGUGUUUCCCAAAGAGUUGUCGGGAGUGCCUCCUGAGAGGCAGGUGGAGUUUUAGAUUGAUUUAGUUCCGGGACUGGCGCUUAUCGCCAAAGCACCUUAUCGCCUUGUGCUGCCUGAGAUGCAACAGUUAUCUUCUCAGUUUCAGGAGCUGCUAGGGAAGGUUUUUAUCAGACCGAGUAGCUCAUCAUGGGGAGCACCGAUCCUUUUUGUCAAGAAGAAGGAUGAUUCACACCAGAUGUGUAUAGAUUACCGGGAGUUGAACAAGCUAACGGUCAAGAACCGUUAUCCACUUCCGAGGAUCGACGAUUUAUUCAAUCAGUUGCAAGGGGCAUCUUAGUUUUCCAAGAUUGAUUUGAGAUCUGGAUAUCACCAGGUGAGUGUGUGAGGGGAGGAUAUUCCAAAGACGGCCUUUAGAACUCGUUAUGGGCAUUACGAGUUUGUAGUGACGCGUUUCUGGCUCACCCACGCAUCGACAGCGUUCACGGAUCUCAUAAACGGGGUGUGCAAGCCUAUGUUGGAUCGUCGGUGAUCAUGUUCAUCGAUGAUAUCUUGGUGUAUUUGAGGUCCAUAGAGCAGCAUGAGGAGCAUCUGCGAGAGGUUUUUGGGGUUUUGAGGCUGGAGAGGCUUUAUGCUAAAUUCUCCAAGUGUAAUUUCUGGUUAUGAGAUGUCUAGUUCCUGGGACACCUUGUUAAUCAGAAUGGGAUAUUGGUUGAUCCGGCCAAGCUUGAGGCAGUUAUGCGAUGGGGGGUGCCGAGAUCUAUUAGAUUAUAUGUCUAAGCCCAUAACUAUUAUUGGUAUGUACUUGACACAAGAGUAGCAUGGUCCAUUUGGGUUGUGUAACGACCAGAAAUUUCAACCAAUUUAAAAUUUUCAAAAACAACCCGAUUCCAUUAAAGUUUAUUACAAACAGGUUUUCAAUACAAUUUAUUUUAAUUAUUCCCAAAAUCUCAUCACAAUAAUAACACAAGGAGCGGUACGAUCACGCCUUCGCCUUGCCACGGUCACCUGAAGAACCUGAAAAACAUUAAACCACAACUAUAAGCCCGAAAGCUUAGUGAGAUACCCCCAAAAUACCAACCACAUAUACCAUACACGCAUAAUAUGCCAUAACAUAUCCGAUCACAGAACAGCCAUGCACUUCGGGUGUACUAUGGGACUGGUCCGCCGCACCGGCCAACAGUCCACCUGGUCCACCCUCNNNNNNNNNNNNNNNNNNNNNNNNNNNNNNNNNNNNNNNNNNNNNNNNNNNNNNNNNNNNNNNNNNNNNNNNNNNNNNNNNNNNNNNNNNNNNNNNNNNNNNAAGUCAAAGUCAACCCCUGACUGACUCUACUCGCCGAGUCAACCCGAUGACUCGCCGAGUCCCCAUGCUCAGAAUUCCCCCAAUCCGCGACUCAACUCGCCGAGUCACCCCGAGACUCGCCGAGUCCAACAACUCUGAGUCCACUCACACACAACUCACCGAGUCAUCCCUUGACUCACCGAUUCACGGCUCAACCAGAAAAGAUUGGGACUCUUCGACAAGACUCGCCGAGUCCAAGAACAGAAUCGUCGAGUCUAAGGCUAUCUUCAACCUACUCGCCGAGUUGUUCUUCCAACUCGUCGAGUCCCAGCCUAUCUUCAAGCAACUCGUCGAGUCUACCCAUGUGACUCGCCGAGUACCACAGGUCUGAAUCCAUACAGAAGCAUUCCAGGCCAUGCAAUUGAUCCAAAACGUAGAUCUAGCCUCCUACAACCCAUCCAUCACGUAAAGUGGCAAAGUUUACGUGAAUCCAAAGAGAUCUAGGCCUUUUACACUUUAGGCUAGGGUUUGGGACAUGAUGGCUUCACUAAACACUCAAACACAGGGACUUUAAUGCACUCUAAACCUUCCCCCUACCAGAUCUAAGGUAGCAACCUCAGAUCUAUCCUUCAAUCCCAAGAUACCACAAGCCAAACCUCUCACCCAUUCCAAAAAGAAGAAUCUAUAUGAGUAAUAGCCCAAUAACGAGAUAAUAUCUCAAAAGAACGCCCCAAUAGCAAGGAAACUCGAAUCCCAGCAAAGCCCCUUUCUCCAAGCCUCCUACCCUUCAAGAUUUCCUCAACAAUUGCUUCUCCAAGCUUCCAAAUGCAACUUGAUCCACUCACACACGAAGGUUAGGGUUUCUGGACUUGAGGAAGAGUAAAGAGGCUGGGGGAAUGGAGGUUAUGAUCUUUAUAUAGGGCUCAACCCCGAGAGUUAGGGUUUUCUCCACUCAGCGCCUACUCGCUGAGUCCAGCCGCUGACUCGCCGAGUCGGCCACUUAACACGCGACCCAUUCGUGACCCUACUCGCCGAGUCCACCCAUGUACUCGCCGAGUUCCCUUUUUCAAUUUAAUCUUUUAGCCCUUCAACUCUAGUCUUGAUAUUUCAGGAUGUUACAAUUCUCCCCCACUUAAAUUAGGCUUCGUCCUCGAAGCCUACGACAACUCAUCUGCAAAAAUACUCCCACAACGCGCCACCUGGCCUUAACCGGACCAUGUUCCUAAAGGCAUAACCAUCGAAACUCGAACUCACUUUCUCUUUCCUGUGUCCUGACCACCGUCCCAAGCCGGCCACUGGUUUUACCCUCUGAUAAUCACACUCAACCAUCGGGUACUACCCAUGAUGCAAGAUUGCUCUAGAUCGCCACAAUCCCUCGACCCAUACGAGCUGGAAAUAACCAUGAAUCACCGGAUUCCCGAUCCGAAUCCGACUAUAUCCACUCCGUGCUGACAGAAGGACACAUUCUUCAGUCGUAGAGCAACUCCCACGAGUUCUCUUCUUGCAAUCACAUGCACAUGCUGAACCAGCUCUAGCACCCUCAGGUUGGGAAAACCCGAUACACUGAUGACAUCUCCAAACAUCCCCCAGGAUGAACCACCACUACAUACGCACUUCUCUGAUCAGAAUCACACUGAGAGCCCGAGACUCCCUCCUAGCAUCCCUUCCGAGCCUCUUGGCUCUACACCCGCGAAAUUCCUUCUGCGAUCUCAGCUGACAUCCCAAACCGGAUGUGAUUCCGUUCCACUGCCGCAAACACGUUGCUCAAAGACCAUACACGGAUCACCCUAAUCAUAACUCUGCUCUGCCGCUUUCACUUCCGUGAACUUGCACUCCCUCUUGGAGUUAUACUCCUCUCUCAUUCCUUUACCAAGGAAUCUACUUGGCCGCCUUGUCACUCCGACAAGUGCCACGGUGCUCGCCCAACGCUACACCAUUCCUUCAUAGCGUAACCGCUAUCCAUCCAACACUCAUGCUCUGACUCGGGUCGCAGGGACUCUCAAGCCCAUGCAUUAUCUCAACUAGUCAAGAUCACUACCCGGGGCCAGACCUUCAAAUGCUAUCACACCGCAACAUACACAAUCCAUAUCCUCGAACCGAUCCAACAAUACCUGCAGAGUCUUCAGCAUGACUGGACCGCCUCACCAGGCCUUCAGCCAAUCUGGACCACUCUCAGAACCUUCAGCCAAUCUGGACCGCUCUCAGUGCCUUCAGUUUAGCUGGACCGUUCUCCGAGCCUUCGGCCUGACUGGUACGCCUACCGGCCUUCAGUCUAUCCGGACCGCUCAACUAGCAUUCAUCAUUCCGAGCUAUCACUCCGGGAAAUCUUCCCAUGCAUACCGUUCUAGCCCUCUAGGGGUUCCGAACUCUAUCUCCAUCACACAACUCAAUCCCGGCCUGAUCCCAGACCCUCCGCAAAUAAGUACCUUUGGUCUGUAUUCCGCCCCGCAUGCCUGCCACUUACUCAUGCCAGCCUACGCUCUUGGCUGACAGAACACUGCUGAAUCCCAGACAGCUCAACAAUCUCACAUACUCAUCGAUCAUCCGGAGAAUUUUCCAAUUCUCCCCCACUUAGGGCACUGACUAUCAACCACCGGUCGCUAUCACCGACCUCCCAAAACAACCCUGCACAACACCACACUUACACGCGGACUGAUUUCCCACUAGCACUAGCAACCUUCACAAAAUCACAUUUCCACACUGAUCCUCCCGCUCGAAAGAAACUCAAUCUGCAGCUAACCACUCCUCAGAAGGCAGAUGCUACCCGACAUUCAGACCAACGCCAGAUUCCCACUAACAACCCCAUGAAUGAUAACCAACGAAAUUCCCAACACUAACCCAUAACCAUACCAUAACUCUCAAAAACAACAAAUACCACACCAAGAACCACACAAAGAUACUAGCACAUAAACAAUACUCCACAAUAAUCAUAAGAUAACAAGACAUCAAGGAAGAAACAUACCCGCAGCUGCAUCCGGCACUGCUCUGACCUCCUCUGCUGCAAGCUGAAAAGCACGACCCUGAGCCCUUGGGGGCUCCGCUCCACCCUGACCUCCACCCGUGAUCCUCAAAGUGGCCGGUGCUGGAGCCUGCACCGGUCCUGCAGCAAGCUGUGGACAGUUGACCCUCAAAUGUCCAACCUGAUGACAAUGAUAACAAAUCCUCAAAUCCCGAACCGGCGCUGACUGCCGACAAUCCCUCGCAUAGUGCCCCUCCUUUCCGCACUUACGGCAUGCACCACCGGACCUACAAACUCCGGUGUGACUCCUUCCACACUUCCCACAAGUGUGGCUACUCAGAUCCCCCACUCUAGAGUCAACAGUCUUCGACCGUUUUGGCGCCGGCUGCAACUGCACUGGAGCCUACCUCAACUCACGCAUCUGCAACUCAAUCUCUAACUCGCGCCGCCUGGCGGCCUCCUGUAACUCCAACAAGGUCUCGCACCUCUGCAUAGACAUAAAAUGUCUGAUAUCCCUCUUAAGCAUGCUCAGAUAUCGAGACAUCUGAGCCUGCUCCGAAGCGAACUCUGGGCAAAACAUCGCCCUCUCAGUGAACAUCCUGGUGAUCUCCGUCACCGACUCCGAACCCUGCUUCAGCUCAAGGNUCCUGAGCCAAUCUCUCCCUCUCAACUCGUGGAACAUAGCGAGUGCUGAACAUCUCGCUGAACUGAUCCCAUGAAACCGCAACCCUCUGCGCAUCAGAAUAUGAACCCAUGGUCAAUCUCCACCAAUCCUUCGCCUCGAGCCUCAACAGGUUCAGAGCACACCUCGCUCUCUGAUCAGCAGGGCAUGAACACGUGAAGAAACACCCCUCCACGUCUGACAACCGUCUCAUAGCAACAAUCGGGUCCUUAACUCCAUCGAAGGUAGGGGGCUUCGUAUUAGCGAAGUCCCGAUACUGNCGUAUUAUCGAAGUCCGGAUACUGAAAGCCCCGACCAACUCCUCCCCCUACCUCUGCUACAGCUGCUGUAGCCGCCGCGACAUCCGUCUCUGUGAGAGCUGCAUAACGCUCAUCAAAAUACUCAAUCAUGGCGGUCUUGAUCGACCCAAACAGCUCCGACAACUCAGCCCGAAACAACUCAACAAUCUCAUCACGCAGGAUAUCACGAAUCCUCGCAUCCAACUCGCACGUGCUCAUCUGACCGAUAACCUCUGGCGGUACUGACCCGCCCGAGACUCCUCUCCUGCUCCCGAUCCUGAUCCGGAUCCACUCCUAGCAUGCCUCGAAAUCUCCAUACUGAAAAACACCACACAAAAUCUCAGACUCUUCCCACUAUCCCGGGAACCAACUGUCUCAACCCAGCCAUAGAGGUCAUGGUUUCCCUGAUAUGAGUAAGGGUCCUGUGCUUUCAGUAGUACGGGCCCAUACUACCUUCCACACCUACCCAUAUUUGUAUGAAGUACUACCACAACACCCUAGUGAAAACAUGCAUAACAACGCUCAACCCUCGCAACUAGAGUAACACUAGAAAUCUCUCAUAAGGAAACCCUAGGCUACAGGCAUCACAAAUCAGGCAACAUUAUCAUGAAAUCCUAAAGACCCCUAGCCUAGCACUAGCAUGCUGUUUUAACAAAGCUCAAAACACAUAUCAUGUAUGGUAUUUUGGGGUUACUUAUUGGCUCCGGCUGAUCGUACCUUCGCGUCCUCCUUUACUCAUUUUGAAAACCAUUUUAAAUACUCUUUUGAAAACUCUCCUCGAUUUGAGACUGGAGUCACACGAAUGUUCCUCCAAUUCACUCAAUCCAAGGCUCUGAUACCAACUUGUAACGACCAGAAAUUUCAACCAAUUUAAAAUUUUCAAAAACAACCCGAUUCCAUUAAAGUAUAUUACAAAAAGGUUUUCAAUACAAUUUAUUUUAAGUAUUCCCAGAAUCUCAUCACAAUAAUAACACGAGGAGCGGUACGAUCACGCCUUCGCCUUGCCACGGUCACCUGAAGAACCUGAAAAACAUUAAACCACAACUGUAAGCCCGAAAGCUUAGUGAGAUACCCCCAAAAUACCAGCCACAUAUACCAUACACGCAUAAUAUGCCAUAACAUAUCCGAUCACAGUACAACCAUGCACUUCGGGUCUACUCUGGGACUGGUCCGCCGUACCGGCCAACAGUCCACCUGGUCCACCCUUUGAGUCUAGCCAUAUACCUCGAGUCUAUAGUGAGAUUGGUCUGCCCGCACCGGGCCUUCAAUCCACCUGGUCCACUCUCCGAAUCUAACCACAUACAUCGAUUCUGCAGUGUGAUUGGUCUGCCCGCACCGGGCCUUCAAUCCACCUGGUCCACCGUCUGAGUCUACUCACACACAACUCACCAAGUCAUCCCUUGACUCACCGAUUCACGGCUCAACCAGAAAAGAUUGGGACUCUUCGACAAGACUCGCCGAGUCCAAGAACAGACUCGUCAUGUCUAAGGCUAUCUUCAACCUACUCGCCGAGUUGUUCUUCCAACUCGUCGAGUUCCAGGCCAUCUUCAUCCAACUCGCCGAGUUGUUCUUCCAACUCGUCGAGUCCCAACCUAUCUUCAAGUAACUUGUCGAGUCUACCCAUGUGACUCACCGAGUACCACCGGUCUGAAUCCAUACAGAAGCAUUCCAGGCCAUGCAAUUGAUCCAAAACGUAGAUCUAGCCUCCUACAACCCAUCCAUCACGUAAAGUGGCAAAAUUUACGUGAAUCCAAAGAGAUCUAGGCCUUUUACACUUUAGGCUAGGGUUUGGGACAUGAUGGCCUCACUAAACACUCAAACACAGGGACUUUAAUGCACUCUAAACCUUCUCCCUACCAGAUCUGAGGUAGCAACCUCAGAUCUAUCCUUCAAUCCCAAGAUACCACAAGCCAAACCUCUCAUCCAUUCCAAAAAGAAGAAUCUAUAUGAGUAACCGCCCAAGAACGAGAUAAUACCUCAAAAGAAAGCCCCAACAGCAAGGAAACUCGAAUCCAAGCAAAGCCCCUUGCUCCAAGCCUCCUACCCUUCAAGAUUUCCUCAACAAUUGCUUCUCUAAGCUUCCAAAUGCAACUUGCUCCACUCACACACGAAGGUUAGGGUUUCUGGACUUGAGGAAGAGUAAAGAGGCUGGGGGAAUGGAGGUUAUGAUCUUUAUAUAGGGCUCAACCCCGAGAAUUAGGGUUUUCUCCACUCAGCGCCUACUCGCCGAGUCCAGCCGCUGACUCGCCGAGUUGGCCACUUAACACGCGACCCAUUCGCGACCCUACUCGCCGAGUCUACCCAUGGACUCGCCGAGUUCCCUUUUUCAAUAUACUCUUUUAGCCCUUCAACUCUACUCUUGAUAUUUCGGGAUGUUACAGGUUGCAUGGCAUCAGAACAAUUUGGAUAGAAUUUUGUGAGAAUAGGAUAUUUAUGAUUUAUUAAUAUAUUAUAAGUUCAAAUAUAUUAAUAUGAAAUCAUGUUAUUUAAUUAGUAUUGAUCAAGAAUUAGUUUGGAAUUAGUUGUAUGAUCAAAAGAGACUAAUUAAAUAAAUGGGGAUUGAUUUGGUAAAUCAUUCAUUCUUAUAAAGUGGGCUUAUGAUCCAUAGUUCUUCGUGUUGGGCUAAACCCAUGUGGUGACCCAAUGAUAGUCCACGGAGUUUAAAACCCAUGGAUCAUGAGGAAUGUGGAAAGACAUGAGUUACAUGGUGUAACCCUAAUAUGAACACUAUAUUAGAAGCCUCAUAGCUCAUGAAAUGUGACUUAGAGUCUUGGCAAGGAGGGCUAGCCGAUUUCAUGAAGUUUAAGUGUUCUUCUCUCAAGUUAUUCCAAUUGUUGAUGGUGUUGUGUGAUUCCAUUUUGAGGUGCAACACUUGGGACAAUAAGCUCCUAAAUCUCUAAUGCUUCAAACUACAAGAAAAUGUAUGUUAUCUAACUUGUUUUAUUACCCAUGUAUAAACUUUUGUAUGCUAGUUAGGGUAAUACCUUGGAAAGUUCAAGCUUGCAUGUAUAAUAGAGAAAACAUAGAUUGUUUGGUCAUAAUUUGUUGGUUUGGGCUAGGCAUCUAUCUUUAUCGGUCUGAUAGGGUUUUGCUCAUGCAAUAGGUGUUUGCGGCUUGUGUUCACGGUUCUAAGGUGUUCACGGCCGUGAACAUGUUCACGGGCGUGAACCCGUUUGCGAUUGGUCAUGUCCUAUAAAUAUUAUGUCAGUGAGUCAGACGUAUGUGUGUGUCCUGAGUGUACUUGACAUUUACGGCUGAAUAGAACGUGUGCAUCGUUAGAUCUUCUCUGCUUCUACUCCUUCUAAUUCUUAUUGUUAUGGCAUCUUGAUUGUGUUUGAUCACUGGUUGGUUCAUGUUUGUGGGACUUUACAAUUGGUAUCAGAGCCAAUCUAGUGUCAAAAUCAUUCAAGUAGUGUCUCGGCUGGAGUAAUCUUCAAUUACGUGACUGUUUAAAGCAUAUUUACGGAGUUUAUGCAUUGGAUCGAGAAGUUCAAAGAAAAAGGAAUCACAAUCAGCAUCAAAAUCAUUUGUUCUCAAUUUUUUCUGGGUGUUUACGAUUUCAUUGUUUGAAGUGUUUACGGCAGUGAACUCUAUGUACGACCGUGAACCAUUCAUCUUCAUCAGCCGUGUUCUUCUCAGUUGUCUGUGAUCCAUUCAUUGGUAGUGAACCAUUCAUAUACAUUGAUUGUGAUCCAUUGAUUGGUAGUGAACCAUUCAUAUACAUUGACCGUGAUCCAUUGUUUAACCGUGAAUCACUUGUUGACCGUGAACUGUUGUUGACCGUGAAUCGACCGUGAACAGUAAACUGUGUACGGCUGUGAACCUUAUACGGUCGUAAACUCACUUGGUUAUAGAACACUUUCUAUUUUGUACUUUCAUUGCAAGUUUUAUUUUUUCAAUCAAUCAAGAAAAAAAAACAAAUGAACUCUCAAACUUUAACAGCUCAUCAGGAACUGGAUUCUAUUAUGGGUACAACUACGUGCAUUCUAUGCCUGUUAUCUGCUGAGGGUUUCCCCGAAUGGAAAUAUUCCAUGGAAAAGUACAUAAAGAUGAAGGACUUCAAGAUAUGGAGAAGCAUCUUGAAAGGACCAGUUUGAAUCACCACAACACUUGAAGAUGGAACAGUCAGUCACAAUGAGUUUGAAAACGACACCGAUGAAGACUUUGAGAAAAUUUAAGAAAAAAAGAGAAAGCAUUCACCACAUUUACCAUGUCCCUAUAUUCAAAGAUUGCUCAGGGUUUCAGAGAAUACAAUUCUGCAAAAGCUUUGUGGGAAGCACUGAUUGAAGUAUACGAAGCAGUUGGGGAGCUACCACUAACAACCAAACGGCGAAUCUGGCACUGGUGGCUAAGUCAUUUUACUGGGAAGAUCAGAUUCAGGCGCUGAACAUCUCAGGACCUAAAAAUGCUCAGCUUGCCUAGAUCAAUGAUGUCCCAGAAGAAAAAGCGGAAGUGGACCCGGAAGAAGAAAUGAUGGAGGUGCGAUUUUCCUUUAUGGUACAGAUUAACCAGAGUCUAAAAAGAAGGAGGUCAAUGAAAUCUAUUGUUCUCAAACUUGCAUUAAAACUGUUAAAUUUUUACGUGAGCAAAUUGAAUUGAUAAAAAGGGAGAACGAGGACCUUAAAUAUGAGGGGUACAACCUUAGGAAAGGCCAAAAACCAUUAAAAGUACAACUAGAGGCCAAGACUAAGGAGUUUAGAAAAUUGCAGGAAGAUUAUAGUAACAAGUGUGAGAACUAUAAUUACAUUAAGAAACAACUUGCUGUUGUAACUAAAGAACUUGACACACUGAAGAUCCGUUUUGAAAAUGCCGAUUUUAACUUUAAGAAAUACGAUGUGUCAAGUGAAAAAGUUGCAAAAAUAAUUGAAAAAAAAAUGAAGUGGAAGAAAAAACGAGUAGAUAUAGGAUAUGAUAGUGUCCCUCCCCCAUUCAAUCAAAAUUAUAUUGCUAAACCUUUGACUCAGAAGGAGAUAGACCGAGAACCAUUUAUGGUGUAUGGUAAACAAGCGGUAUAGGUCACACAAAGUAGUGCUAGGAAAUAGAUACUAACAUUUCUACUUCUCAUGCAGAUUCAUCUCUAAGUCAAGGAAAGUAGGAUUCUGGAGAGGAUAGUGCUAAUAAUAAUUCUGUUUUGAAAAAUGAUGUUUCUAUUUCAGAAAAUAUUGUUUUUCUUUCUAAAACUGAUGAUUAUGUUUCUAAUUCUGAUUCUUCAGAUGUUGCUUGUGGUGAUGUGUCUAAUAAUUCUGAUGUUUCUGUUACUAGCACACAGACACACACACACACACACACUACACCUACACCUGUCACACAACCUGAAUCAUGCACUUAUACAUGUGGAAGGAGUAAGAGAUUUGAUAAGAAAAAUAAACCAAAAAAGGGUGGUACUAGUUUUUGCGACAAAAAGAAACAUGUUUUAACUGUGAAUCUGGUGGUCAUAUAGCUCGCAAUUGUCCUAAUCGGGCAUUUGUUCAAUUUUUUGCACCAAGAAGAGAAAAUGAGUCACGAGGUAGGUCUCUCACGAGAAAGUCCUCGAGAUCUCGUCUUCGUGAUGAUGAUUAGAAUGUUCAUAAGGACAAGAGAAGGGCUGAACUUAAAACGAACAAACAAGUUUUCAAUCAAACAACCACAUGUGCUUUGAUGAAAUCGAAUGCGGCCAAGCCAAGAUCGAUGUCGUCAAAGACAGUGUCUGGAUCCCCGACUAAUCCUAGUCGGAAAUCCAAACACUCAAAACAAAAGAAAAUUAUUUCAAAAUCACCUGUGAAUAUUUCCAAACCUAAAUACCAAUGGAUACCCAACAAUCAAAAUAUCCAAUCAUCUCAAUCUUCUAGUAGUGCUUCUGGUAGUGAAUUAAAAUCAAAAAUUGAAAAAGAAAAAUUUGUUGUUAAUGUCAAGGGAAAGCCAAUGUUGUUAUGACCUGGGUUCCCAAAUCUCAUUAAUCCUGCAUAUUAUGCAGGAACAUCUGCGGGGGAAUGUCGCCAGACCGUGUUAUGUCGACAACAGUUGUUCCCAACACAUGACAAGAGACAUUUCCCAGUUGCACGAAAUUCAAAACUUUAAUGGGGGAUUUUUUUUCCUUUUGCGGCAGGGGAUGGAGGAAAGAUCAUGCAAAAAGUAAUCGUCUCUAAUGGAGUGUUUAGCUUUGAAAACGUCAACUACGUGCAUGAGUUGAAGCAUUUCUUUUUGAGCGUCUCUCAAAUAUGCGACAAGGGCUACUCUACCCACUUCAUUGAUAAAGAAUGCCUUAUCUUGAAACCUGGUAUCGUCAUCGCUGAAGAAUGGAUAUUGGUGAAAUCGAAAAGAGACAGGAACGCUUACAUCGUCAACAUGAAUCAUAAUAUCCCAGAACAAGUCACAUGCCUUUUCUCUAAAGUCUCAUAACAUAAUUUGAUGGUUUGGCAUCAUCGUCUUGGGCAUGCAAACGCCAAGAGCCUCAAUCGUCUUGCAAAGAAGGAGAUCGUGCGUGGCCUUCCAGUUAAAUACUUUAUAACUUUUGAAAAAUGUGUGGCUUGUGCUCAGGGAAAUAUCAUAGAAUGCCCCAUUUUCCAAAGGCGGUUAAUUCAAUCAGCAAGGUUCUCCAGUUAUUGCACAUGGAUUUUUUUGGUCCUGUCAAUGUCCUCAACAUUCACAAAAACUCUUACUGCUUGGUUGUGAUAGAUGACUACUCGCGUUACACAUGGGUCUUCUUCUUAUCCAUCAAGAGUUGGAUUUCAAACUUGAUCAAGAAGUUCAUGGUGAUGAUUGAGAAUCAGACUAAUUAGAAGGUGAAAGCGCUUAGAAUGGAUAAUGGUACAAAAUUCAAGAACGUUGUUUUGGAUCACUUUUGUGCAGAAAAAGGGAUAGUGUGUCAGUAUACUCUCGUUCGGACACCUCAACAAAAUGGUGUUACGGAAUGGUGGAACCAAACAUUAAUGGACGCCGCAAGGAAGACGUUGUGUGAUUCUAAACUACCAGUCUUCUUUUGGGCAGAGACGAUCAACACUGUCUGCUACGUUCAGAAUCGAGUGCUGAUCAACAACGCUCAGAUAAAGACCCCAUACGAAAUUCUAUACAACCACAAGCCAUCAGUUGCUCACUUCCUUAUAUUUGAAUGUGCUUGCACCCUUCUUCAUCUUGAAUCCAACCCCUAAUUCAAGUCUAAAUCCAAUUAAUGGUACUUUGUGGGAUGUGCAGUACGUACAGCUUACUGUGUUUAUAACAAGAGGACAAAGUAGUGCUGGGUUAUGAGCAUUAUAACACUUCUAAGUGUAUAUGCAAACCUAAAUACCUUGGAUCUAUGUUUUCUCUAUUAUACAUGAAAAUAUGGAUAUUUCAAAGUAUUACCCUAUCUAGCAUACAAUAUUUUGAUACUUGGAUGAUAUAACAAGUUAGAAUACAUACAUGUUGAUGUAGCUUGACUCUAUGAAGCUCGAGAACCUAGUUCCCCAAGUGUGAGACCUCAAAUGGUUCACACAACAUAAUUAACACUUGGAAUAACUAUGAGAAGAGAUACAUGAGCUCUAGAAAUCGGCUUGCCCUCUUGUGUAUACACUAGUGCCAAUUUCACCAACCAAUGGGUCUUUAUAUAGUGUGGCUAUUAGGGUUACAACAUGUAACUGAUGACUUUACCCAUUCCUUAUGCUCCAUGGGUUUUAACCUCCAUGGAGUAUCCAUGGGUCACCACAUGGGUUAAACCCAACAUGAGGAAUCAUGGAUCAUUAGCCCACAUAUAUAAGAAUGAAUGAUUUACACAAUCAAUCCCCAUAUAUUUAAUUAGUCUCUUUUGAUCACUAAGUUAAGUCCAAAUUAAUUCUUGAUCAAUACUAAUUAAAUAACAUGAUUUCAUAUUAAUAUAUUAGAACUUAUAAUACAUUAAUAUGUCACCAAUGUCCUCUCCUCACAAACGGUCUAUCCAAAUGUUCCGAUGCUAUGCAACCCAAAUGGACCAUGCCGAUUCGGGUCAAGUACAUACCAAUUAUAGUUAUGGACUUAGACACUAAUUCAACAGUCUCCCACUUGGAUAAGUCUGAAACUAUUAUUGCGUAUGACUUCAAAAACCAACUGGCAAUCGUAGCUCUCAAAAGCCGCUGUCAAACCCUGACCUUGUCGACGAACUCUGACCUUUGUCAAUGACUUGUCCACUAGAUAAGGGAUCAUAUAUUUCCCCAUUCUAGAUAUCAUAUGACUAAGACAUGGACUAAAAUCAUUCUCUCUGUCCAUUUUUUGUUUCUCAAUUUCCGAUUUAUGACGACUGAUUAAUUGAAAAAAUCAAAUUAGUCUUGGCUUGGCCAAGCACUCACAUGUAUCAUUAUUAAAGUAUCGAGCGGCCCACAUAUAUCGCUUUUAUCCCGAAGGUAAAAGGAAUGGAUAAAAUUUGACUCAUAUGGCUUGUUCUACUACUUGUUGAAUUGUACACACAUGCACGUUUUAUAACAUCGAGUUACCAAUGCGUGUUUCAUGCAAUCAAUGUAUAACCAACUCAUAGUAACAACUCAUACCUCUAGGUUUGAAGAAUAUAAGAUAUUAUCAUCUGAUGAUCACUUGUGAUAAAAUUCAUGAAGUGAUUCCAAUGAGCGUGGGUUGAAUUCACUACUCAGAACUUAUGAGCACUCAUGAGUGUUGCAACACCAUUUUUUCCAACAUCUUAGACCUCUAUAAGUCAACUCAUGACAAUUUUAAUUCUUAUCUACUUCCAACAUAUGACCGAUUGCGGAUGGUUUGAAUAACUUAGUCAUUCAAGAAGAACGACCUAGUUAUUCGGGAAGUCAAAACAUGUAAAGUGAAACACAAGAAUAAUCGAAUCCAAUAUGGUCUCAAAACUUAUGAAUAUAAAUAAAACACCUUUUAUUUAUCACCAUAUUGAUUACCCAUCAUUCAUUGCAUACUGUUUCAAACUAUCAACUUUAUACUUUAAUGAAAACAAUAGUUGUCCCAUGCUCCAAUCAUGUACACUAUGUUUUUCUAAACACGAGUCAUGCCUUACACUAAGUAUGCACACUAUGUUUUACUAUAAUCUUUACUUUGUGAAAUAGAUCGAUUGAACAUAAUUCCAAUGAUUCUCAUUUCACAAUCCCAAACCCUUAACGCAAAUGCAAGAAUUCCAAAUCCUGCCAUUUACCUAAAUUUGUUAGAUUCUAAGCUUAUAUGCAUUGGUCCUCUUGUAAUGAUUAUGCACAAAGUCACAAAGACUUGUCAACAGACAUUAUAGAGUAUUCCAUUAGAGACCAAAUCCAUGGAAACGAAGUCUCAAAUUCAAAGUUCAUUGCCUUUGAACAUUCUUCUUGCAUUAAGUUUCCUAAGCUUACACAAAUUUAAUGAGUAACUUCCACCUACGGGAACAACUCCAUAUUCCCAUUUUGACUAUCACUCCUGAGCAAGAGUUGCCUCUUUCUAGAAUAUGUCAAUAUGGUCCUUCCAAAAUUAGCACUAUGCUUCCAACUGUCCCUGAGCAACCAAUCUUUGGUAAACCUUAGAUUGUCCUCAACAAUUGCUUAAUCAUUUUAGUCAUUUCCAAUUCUAGACCUUUUUCCUUCUUAAUGCCCCAGGUAUUUGGAAGAUUUUAGAAAGGAUGAAUAUUAGAGCACAUGCAAUCGAUCAUAUAUCCGAAGCAUAUGGGACACGAUUCAUGAUGUCUCACAUAAAGACAUGAUACUAGACCAGUCCUUUUGCUACAAUAUUUCUUUUUUGCCAAGUUCUCUUAAUUCAGAUUAAUAAAAGGGAUGCCGUAAUCAUAAUCGAAUUUUAGAAUGCAAAUAAUGUACCCAUAUAUAGAAUUUCCUUAUGUUGAGCCAUUCCAACACAAAAUUCAUAAAUAUCAUUGACUAAAUUUGAUUAAAAUCUCACGAUCUUAGCUUAUAGAUUUGAGAUGAAGUAUAAUUUCCUCUCCCUUAAUUAUAGCAAAAAACAUUUUCCCAAUUGAAACUAUUUUUCUUUAAUUAACAUUUCUAACUCGCAACACUUAUCAUAAUUAUCAUUCUCCCACUAACAUGAUUAUUAUUAUCAUAACACUUAUGCUCCCACUAGCUUUGACAUGUACUUUGAAAUCAGCUGGACUUCUACUAAUCAAUACUUUAUUCACUUUCUUACCAAAGUACAGACUUAUGAUACGAAAUGCUUUUAUAAAAACUUUAUAAAAAUCAUACACCUUUCCUUACAUAGCACACAUGUGUGUCUAAACAAUUUCAAAACUAUGAAAAAAGAUGUCAUAAUCAUAUUCUCAAUUGUUUAGACCUUUGCCAUUCCUCACAAGUCCAUGUUAAUGUGCCGGUUAACCACACACGCUCCACUAACGACUUUGAGAAUGCAAAUAUCAUACCUGUUAUCUAAUUAAAAUCUACAUAGUGAAAGUGUUUCCUCGCCAUUAUUUUCAUGAAUUGAAGAGAAACCUUAUGACAUUUAGUUUUUAUGGUGUAUGUGUUCCUAUCCAUGUGAAUUUGUCAAAACCAUAAUCACAGGACAAGGUUAGUGACAAAUCCAAACUCUUAUGGAUUGAACUUAUGCAAUCUUAACUUCUUGCAACCUGGUAGCACAAGGGACUGCCAUUUCUUCCAAGUGUUUAUGGAACCCAUUGAGAACUCUCAGAACUGAUAUGCAAAGCCAACUUUAACUAGAUUGGGCACAGAAAUAGAAAUAUGUCAACACGACAGGUUAUAAACAUCAUGUCAUGUGCUAGUGUCCAACUACAGGUUUUUACUCUUGAUUAGAUCUUGAAAUUCUUUUAGGAUCAUUAUGACUCCCACUGUCCUCUUGACAUAUAAGUCUAUCGUGUCGAAUAUUCCAGAGAUAUUGUUGAUUCUUUAUCAAGACCAACACUUCACACAAUUGGCCUUAGUUGUUAUUUGUUUUAUCCAAAACAUCACAACUUACAAAUUUCAAAUGUACAAGAGUAGAAAGCAUUUUACUCUUACAUUUGACAAGUGUUAUAAACCUUUCUUUAAGAUAUGUCACUCAAGUUACAAUCUUGGAGUAUGACUCUAAGAAUUGUUUUGGAAGGAAGUAUGACUCAUCUUCUUAAUUUAACCAUUUCAACAAUUCAAGAUUCCUCUUCUUAGUCAUAAGAAUGCACUAAGAUGUCCUUAGAGGACCAAUUGUGAUAUGGUUUCUUUAUCAUUAAGAUGAUCACAAAACUUGACACUAAAGUACUCUCCGAUCUUUUCAGAUUUGAGAAACUUUUUUCCAUGUGCCUAUUUUGAUUCUUCUCAUUCGUUCGGCCAUACAUCGAAAAUUUUCCAAUGUUUCAGAAUUAUACUUAAACUGGUAAGUAUAACCAUAUUUACUAAACUUUAGUAAAUCAUGACGAAUAGUCUUAUCCAUCUUUUGUGGUGGACUUGACCAGUGCACAAGAAUGUGUACUCGAUCCCUUAGUCCUUCACUUGACUCACAUAUGCAUGUGAACAAGAAAUUAGUCUUAAUUUUCCAAAGAUGAAAAAUUCUCAUUCAUCAUACCAUAUAACUUGCAUGAUUGCAAGUUUCGGUCCAAUUGAAACCUUGGGUGAUGAGAAUCUUUCCUUAUUUGGUAAAUUUAGAUACUACCAUAAAUGAAAGAAACAAAUCCAUUUUCCAAUGUUGCUAUCAAUGGAAUCAUAUAAGCAACAAUUUAUCACACAUGCCAUUGUAAGGAUACUUAGAAUAAAUGGAAUCAAAACUUUUCCUUUUAUUUUAAGCUUUGCGGAAACACUUAUCCUUACAGUGCAAAAGCAUAUGAAAAACAUGUUGUUAUCUAUUCCUAACCAAUAUAUCAUGACUCCUAAGCAACAGCUCAAAAUUCUGAUCACCGAACCAUGCGAUCAAAAUCCAUCUUCGUGAUCAGAAUCAGCAUAUACUUCCUUUAAGUUUCUUCAGUUUUUCUUUGAUUCUUCAAACAUCAACAUGUGACCCAGUCACAUCAUGUAAUAAUAAUAUGAGAAUAGAAACUUAACAGAGUUAGAUACUAGACUUUACUUGAAGUAGAGUCAAACAUUGUGACUUGAUUAACCUUUAUGAUCUUUCAGGUGAAUAGGCAACUUCGCAAUCAAUUCCCCUUCCUUUGACAAGAGAAACAUAUGGACUCUUUGGGAAUGGUACAUUGGACUAUCGCAGAGUUGCCUUUCUCUUUACCAUUUGGGCAACCGACUUGACUAUGGUCAAUCCCUUUCCUUGGGAAGAGAAAGCCUUUCCUAGAUACCCAAUGUAAUCAUUGUCAAUGUCCAUUGGGAAGUUGAUCUCUUAAUCAAAUUUGAUGUACCAAUGCUCUAAAUCAUUGCUGCUUUAGCAGCACCAAGCAAAUAGAUAAGAUCAUUAAGGGUCCUAUCAUAGUCUGUUUCAUAGUAGUCCCAAAGGAACUCACUAUGUGACUUAGAAAGUGAUCGAACAACCAACUUUCUUAAGACUUUGACACCCAACUCACCCGGUUUGUCAAUAUGUGACUUCAUCUCCAAGAUGUGAGCACACAUAGACCUUGCAUGCCAGUAGGGCUAGAGUGACCUUGAACUUGUGGGUUAGGGAGAAUAAUUGGAGGAAGUGGAGGAAGCAAAGUUCCAAGAGAUUUCGGAAGAUCAUGGAUGUCUGAACUAGACAUCUUUUAGGAGAUAUUCAAGAUAGUUGAUCUAAAGUCCUUAAUAUAACACCCAAUAUGAAAUAUUAAGGCUAGGACCCAACACGAUACUUUUAUAACUUGGAACAGGGAUGCCGUAAUCCAAGCUAUAAAACAUUUCAAGGUAGGUGAAUGACGAUUCACCAAUUUCCACCAUGAAAACGAAAUAAUUUAAUCAGGGUUUACAUUGAUUUGAAACUCCUAGAUCUUUUGAAAUUCAUUGAACUGUUCAAUGACAUGUUUCAAUCUCGAUUGUUCCCUCUCAAAUUUUGGGAUUGAGAUGCUGAGGAUCACAAAACAAGGAGUGAAUAACAAUGCAAAUAUACUUGGUACCCUUAAUAAUUUACCCCUUCAUGGAUGUGUCUGUUAACCACACGCGCUCCACUGAUAGUAUGAUAAACAUUAAGUUACCCUUUUCCUGCCUUGUUAAAUCCAGCUAGUGUGCCGGUUAAUCACACGUGCUCCACAAACCAACUUAAGCAAAGUGCAUAGUGUAAUUUCAUGGCUUAGCACCAAAUUCACAUUUUCCUAAGCAACUAUGAUUGGGAAUGAAUAAAAGUUUAGUUACUUAGUAUUUCUCAUUAAUACUUUUAAUGAAGGGAGAAUUCUAGUCCUUGUCCCACCUGUUCAGCUAAGGACCCUCCACCAAUCAAGUAAAGGGUGGGUGAGAGUGGACACUCAUUAAACUGCCAUUUUAUAGGAAGUAACCUUAUACCCCCCCCCCUUAUAGACCGGCUUCGUGAAUGAGGCCUACUAAUGGUAAGACUGACUUGCUCUUAUACACAUAUAUAUAAAGUGUGUGUGAGACUUUACAAAUUACAAAACUUGAGGGCAAGUUUUGAAACUAUUUAAAAACUUUUCAUUUCUAUAGCUUAUGAGUUUNAAAAUUCUAAGGGCUUAACUUGGAAUUAAAUUAUUCAUAAGGGAAAACUUUUCAAAUUCAAAAACAUGAGGGCAAGUUUUGAAACUAUUGAAAACUAUUCAAUUCCAUAAUUUAUGUGUUUAAAGUUGUUUUAAUUCAAAAAAAUCUUCAAGUUGCAUAACUUGAGGACAAGUUAUGGAAGAUUUUAAACUAUUAAAGAGUAUGACUUUUCUUUAUUCAUAACCUAUGGAAAUAUUUAUGAGUUUUAUAAAUCUUAAAUAUGACUUUUCUUUAACUUGAGGACAAGUUACAAAAACACAUUUUAGAACCAACUCUUAGAUUAAUUUGGAUUGAAAACAACAAUUUCACAUAACUUUUCUAUUAAUCUAAGCAACUCAUAAGAACAAGAUAAUUCAAUCAAACUUUUACAUCUAAUUAGCCUAACCAAUAAACUAAUACAAAACAUGAAUCUAUUGACAAUUAUCUUUGAAAUUGGAUUAGCAUGAACAUUACCACACCAAAACUAGGUUUAUAAGUUGAAAAACAGCUUAGGGUAAUGUUCCUAGUCCAAAUCCAGCCAAAACGUUCGAAGCUAUGCUGUCUAGGGGUCCAACGCGUCGAGUGCGUGAACCAACUCAGCGAGUUGGAUGAGUUUAGCCUUGGACUCAUCGAGUUCCUUCAUGGACUCGGCGAGUAUGCUGAGCAGACAGCAACUAAAUUUGAUUUUUGAGCCAAUUUUGCAAGUAUAACAAGAAAACAAGCCUAGGCUUUGAUACCACUGUUGAGUUAUGAGCAUUCUAACACUGCUAAGUGUACAUGCAACCCUAAAUACCUUGGAUCUAUGUUUUCUCUAUCAUACUUGGGUAAUAUAACAAGUUAGAAUACACACAUGUUGAUGUAGCUUGACUCCAUGAAGCUCGAGAGCCUAGUUCCCCAAGUGUGACACCUCAAAUGGUUCACACAACAUCAUCAACACUCGGAAUAACCAUGAAAAGAGAUACAUGAACUCUAGAAAUUGUCUUGCCCUCUUGUUUAUAUACUAGUGCCAAUUUCACCAACCAAUGGGGUCUUUAUAUAGUGUGGCUAUUCGGGUUACAACAUGUAACUCAUGACUUUACUCAUUCCUUAUGCUCCAUGGGUUUUAACCUCCUUGGAGUAUCCAUGGGUCACCACAUAGGUUAAACUCAACAUGAGGAUUCAUGGAUCAUCAGCCCACAUAUAUAAGAAUGAAUGAUUUACACAAUCAUUCCCCAUAUAUUUAACUAGUCUCUUUUGAUCACUAAAUUAAGUCCAAAUUAAUUCUUGAUCAAUACUAAUUAAAUAACAUGAUUUCAUAUUAAUAUAUUAGAAUUUAUAAUAUAUUAAUAUGUCACAAAUGUCCUCUCCUCACAAAUGGUCCAUCCAAAUGUUCCGAUGCCAUGCAACCCAAAUGGACCAUGCCGAGUUGGGUCAUGUACAUACCAAUUGUAGUUAUGGACUUAAACACUAAUCCAACAAGUAGAUCGUGGAAUCUUUUGAUGUUCGUUGGUUGGUGGAAAAUGAGACAGAUGCCAGAGUCGGUCCUGACUAGUUGUUUGGUUCUGCUUCUUUAUUCAAAUCGUUUAGAGUGUUUUCAGAUGAUGUGUCAGGUUCCUGCUCUGGUUCGAAGGUUGUUCCUGAGGAUGAAGAGGAAGAGGUUGGCUAAAUUCCACCAUCAGUGUCUUCUACAUCUCCAUCAGUGAAUCAAUUUGUUCCAAGUGCUCCUUUAGAUUCCCCAACUCAUAGAAUCAAUCAUUAUGCUGAAGCCAUUCCACUCACUCCAGCUGAAAGAGACUUCAUGACCAUAGAUACUUCCACUACCACUCAAACUCUCAAAGAGCUUCUCUUUCCCGAACCAAUUGCAAAUGAGUAUGUGGCUAGCUCCUCUUACAAUCCCAGAUCAUCUAAGGAGAAUGAUUCAUCAAAUGAUGGAUUCAAAAAUAUCAACAACCUUCAUGUCACGCUUAAUGAUAUCAGCCAUGAAAUUCCAUCUCGACUGCAACGCGGUCAUCCUAUAGACAACGUUAUUGCUGAACUAGACGACGGUGUUCGAAUGAGAAGGUAGAAUUGUGACGUAAAUACAUGUCUCUACUCUUGCUUCAUCUAUCAGAUAAAGCCAAUGAAUUUUGAAAUGGCGCUGAAUGAGCCUAGUUGGGUUGAUGCAAUCAUGAAGAGCUGAAUCAAUUUGAGAAAUCAGGGGUUUCGAAGCUGGUUGAACUGCCAAAAGGAAAGAAGUCACUGGAUACCCGUUGGUUGUUUUUCAACAAAAAGGAUAAUUGUGGGGUAAUAGUGCGAAACAAAGCACGUUUGGUUCUUUAUGGCAUUCGGCAAAUCGAAGGACUUGACUACACUGAGGUGUAGGCUCCUGUAGCUUGUCUUGAAGCUAUCAGUAUCUUCCUGGCGUAUGCAUCCUACAUGGGGUUCACUGUAUAUCAGAUGGAUGUUAAGACUGCCUUUCUUUUAUGGAGAUGUGAAAGAGGAGAUUUACGUUGAUCAGCCUCCCAGUUUCGUCAACUCAAAGUUUCUGAAUUAUGUCUACAAAUUGGAUAAGGCUCUAUAUGGGUUACAUCAGGCUUCUCGGACCUGGUAUGCAUCCGUAAUAGAUCAUUUGCUCAAACAUGGUUACACCAGAGGCAUGAUCGAUCAGACACUCUUUAUAAAGCAUGUUGAUGGAGACAUAAUUCUUGUUCAGAUCUAUGUCGAUGACAUCAUCUUCGGGUCAACAAGCAAGAAGCUCUGCAAGGAGUUUGAGAUGAUUAUGAAGAGGAGGUUCGAGAUGAGUUCCCUGGGGGAAAUGAUGAUAUUUUGGGGUUUGCAAGUACGUCAAAUCUCAACUGGAAUUCUCCUGCACCAAGGAAAAUACGUUAAAGACAUGCUUGAGAUGUCCAAUUUUAAGGAUGCAAAAGCUUGCAUGAUACCGAUGGCUGAACGACUCCUAUUGUCUCCAGAUCCGUAAGGCGAAUCCGUAGAUCACACUGAGUAUAGAUCGAUGAUCGGAUCCCUGAUGUAUCUAACUGCGAGCAGGUCGGACAUCAUGUUUGCAGUUUGUCAAUGUCCACCAUACCAAGCUAAUCCUAAACUCUCUCAUUUUAUUACUGUCAAAAGAAUCUUUAGGUAUCUCAAAGGCAGCCCAAAAUUGGGUCUUUGGUAUACUCAAAAUUCUGAUUUUGAUUUAUAUGCGUUCGCUGACAGCAAUUAUGGAGGUUGUGAAGUUGACAUGAAAUCAACGUCUGGGUGAUGUUGAUUUCUAGGUGACAGUCUAGUGCCAUGGAAAUGCAAGAAAAACAGACAUUGAAAACCUCAACGGCGGAGGCAGAAUACAUUGUUGCUUCUUCCUAUUGCUCUCAUGUCAUUUGUAUUUGUUGAGUCUAUUAGAUUGCGUCAUGGGCUCGGUCCUUAGCCCAGUUUAAAUGCCGGUAUUGGGCCUGCCCAGCCGUGCAUAAUUUUAUACUAGGGUUUAGUAUAUAAGCUGCAUGCAUGCAGACUUAGAAGUAAUCGCAUUCAUUGUUUUUGCUUCAUAUUUUCUGUAAACCCUAGCUCGCCUCUACAGUGGAAGUUCUUCAUCGAGCUCUGCUGAGGCGUGACUUAGUUUGAAUCAUAAGCACGUAUUUGAUUCUUAUUUGUGUUCAUUAUUAUAUUGUUCUUAAACUCUUUGAUUUCUUUUAUCGUACCUUUGAAAGAUCUAAUCGAUCUUAGAGUUUUGAACUCAUCAAUUGGUAUCAGAGCAGGAUGUUGUGUAAUUCAUACACACCUCUUCUGUCGAAGAAAUUCAUAGGGUUUUAAUUCCGCAUUGAUUGAUAUUUAUUGAGCCGUCACUCUUUAUUGACGUAUCUCAUUAAUUGUUGAUCUAACCCUAACGAAAUAUUACAAGUCUGAUCUUUUACAGGUUAUCGAUCAAAAGUAUUUACAAUGUCCAUGGACGAGUCACAAACCAAUCCGAUCAAUAUCUCCAACAGCAUAGGCUCUACAACAAGAAUACCAAUCUUGUAUACGCAAGACUAUGAAGUUUGGACGCAUCACUUUGAAGACUACGUGAUUGGAUCGGAGGACAAUGGGUAUCUAAUAUGGGAAGCAAUUACUGCAGGUCCGUUCGCUCACUCAAGGACAUCAAAGAUUGUUAAAACACAGAAAAAAUACAAUCAGCUUGUCAAUGAUGUCAAAGACAUUCCUUGGGAUGAAAAGGAGAAGUUUCAAUGCAACAUCAAAGCUCUGAGGAUGAUAAUGUUUGCACUGCAAUCGGAUACGUUUCGUUUAGUGAGUUCUUCAGCUACAGCUAAGGAGAUCUGGGAUAGAUUGAAGGAAUUAUAUUCCACAGACGAAGACUUGGAACACUCUAUCCAAACUCUCUUGUUAUCUCAGACUCUUCCCACUAUCCUGGGAACCAACUCUCUCAACCCAACCAUAGAGGUCAUGGUUUCCCUGAUACGCAUAUGGGUCCUGUGCUUUUAGUAGUACGGGCCCAUACUACCUUCCACACCUACCCAUAUUUGUAUGAAGUACUACCACAACACCCUAGUGAAAACAUGCAUAACAACGCUCAACCCUCACAACUAGAGGAACACUGGAAAUCUCUCAUAAGGAAGCCCUAGGCUACAGGCAUCACAAAUCAGGCAACAUUAUCAUGAAAUCCUGAAGAUCCCUAGCCUAGCACUAGCAUGCUGUUCUAACAAAGCUCAAAACACAUAUCAUGUAUGGUAUUUCGGGGUUACUUACUGGCUCCAUCUGAUCGUACCUCCGCGUCCUCCUUUACUCAUUUUGAAAACCAUUUUAAAUACUCUUUUGAAAACUCUCCUCGAUUUGAGACUGGAGUCACAUGAAUGUUCCUCCAAUUCACUCAAACCAAGGCUCUGAUACCAACUUGUAACGACCAGAAAUUUCAACCAAUUUAAAAUUUUCAAAAACAACCCGAUUCCAUUAAAGUUUAUUACAAAAAGGUUUUCAAUACAAUUUAUUUUAAGUAUUCCCAGAAUCUCAUCACAAUUAUAACACGAGGAGCGGUACGAUCACGCCUUCGCCUUGCCACGGUCACCUGAAGAACCUGAAAAACAUUAAACCACAACUGUAAGCCCGAAAGCUUAGUGAGAUACCCCCAAAAUACCAACCACAUAUACCAUACAUGCAUAAUAUGCCAUAACAUAUCCGAUCACAGAACAACCAUGCACUUCGGGUCUACUGUGGGACUGGUCCGCCGCACCGGCCAACAGUCCACCUGGUCCACCCUCCGAGUCUAGCCAUAUACCUCGAGUCUACAGUGUGAUUGGUCCGCCUGCACCGGGCGUUCAAUCC
rnacentral:lncRNA from 1 species